rnacentral:tRNA from 1 species
GCCGGCGUGGCGAAAUUGGCAGACGCACAGGACUUAAAAUCCUGCGGGAGUUGAUCCCAUACCGGUUCAAGUCCGGUCGCCGGCA